rnacentral:rRNA from 1 species
AUUGAACGCUGGCGGCAUGCCUUACACAUGCAAGUCGAACGGCAGCGCGGACUUCGGUCUGGCGGCGAGUGGCGAACGGGUGAGUAAUACAUCGGAACGUACCCUGUUGUGGGGGAUAACUAGUCGAAAGAUUAGCUAAUACCGCAUACGACCUGAGGGUGAAAGUGGGGGAUCGCAAGGCCUCACGCAGCAGGAGCGGCCGAUGUCUGAUUAGCUAGUUGGUGGGGUAAAGGCCCACCAAGGCGACGAUCAGUAGCUGGUCUGAGAGGACGAUCAGCCACACUGGGACUGAGACACGGCCCAGACUCCUACGGGAGGCAGCAGUGGGGAAUUUUGGACAAUGGGGGCAACCCUGAUCCAGCAAUGCCGCGUGUGUGAAGAAGGCCUUCGGGUUGUAAAGCACUUUUGUCCGGAAAGAAAUCGCGCUGGUUAAUACCUGGCGUGGAUGACGGUACCGGAAGAAUAAGCACCGGCUAACUACGCG